rnacentral:pre_miRNA from 1 species
GCCCGAUGAGGUAGUAGGUUGUAUAGUUAUGAGUGGCAUCAAUUAGUGAAACUGUUCAGCCUGCUAGCUUGCCGCGC